GUAAGAAACGUUAUAUGGAAAAUACUAUCAGACUUACGUACACACACAUUGAUUACGUAAUAUGCACGUUCACUCUGAUCAUGUCACACAAAUUGAGCGUUCCGUUGCCAAACAAAGCAUCCUGCCCCCAUGUUGUCCAGGCUCCCACGGUUAUUGCCAUGGUCGGGCUGCCGGCCAGAGGAAAGACAUACAUCUCUAAGAAGCUGACACGCUACCUCAACUGGAUUGGAGUCAGUACAAAAGUGUUCAAUGUGGGAGAGUACCGUCGUGCAGCUACCAACAAGUAUCGCAGCCAUGACUUCUUCCGCCCAGACAACAAGGAGGCACAGGAGAUACGAACGAAGUGUGCUUUACUGGCCAUGGAGGAUGCCUGCCAGUUCCUGGAGAACGGGGGAGAGGUCGGGGUGGUAGAUGCGACCAACACGACCCGCGAGAGGAGGAAGAUGCUUGUUAACAUGUUCACAGUAGAGCAUCAGUUCAAACUGUUCUUUGUGGAGUCCAUCUGCGAUGAUCCUGAAGUGGUGGAGGCCAAUAUAAAGGAAGUGAAGGUUUGCAGCCCGGACUACAAGGGGAUGGACACCAAUGAGGCAGUGAAGGAUUUCAUGCAGCGUAUAGAGCACUACAGCGAGACAUACGAGCCCCUCGACUGGAGCCACGACAGAGACUUGUCCUUCAUACAGAUAUUCAACCAAGGGGAGAGGUUCCUAGUCAACAAAUUAGCAGGUCAUCUACAAAGUAGAGUGGUGUAUUACCUAAUGAAUAUUCACGUUCUUCCUCGGACCAUCUACCUCACAAGGCAUGGGGAAAGCAUGAUGAACCUCGGGGGCCGCAUCGGAGGAGACAGCGAUAUAUCAGAGCGAGGGCAGACCUAUGCAGAAGCUCUGAAACGCUACAUUGAGAAGGAGAACAUUCCCAACCUGAAAGUGUGGACGUCGCAGAUGAAGAGGACGAUCCAGACUGCCAAGUUCAUCGAGGCACCCAAGGAGCACUGGAAGGCCCUCAAUGAGAUAGAUGCGGGUAUCUGUGAGGGGAUGACGUACGAGGAGAUCCAGGAGAAGUACCCCGAGGAUUUUGCUCUGCGGGACCAGGACAAGUUCCACUACCGCUACCCAAGUGGGGAGUCUUACCAAGACCUGGUUGCUCGUCUUGAACCUGUGAUACUGGAGCUGGAGAGACAGGAGAAUGUGUUGGUUGUAUGUCACCAGGCUGUUGCCCGCUGUCUACUUGCGUACUUCCAGGACAAGUCAGCAGAACAUAUCCCUCACGUCCCUGUCCCGUUUGAGAAGGUCGUGAAAAUGAAAAUGAAGGGCCAUUGCUGCGAGUGCGAACACAUACCACUGCUCAGAGGAUCUGCCGUAUUUGAAGGUUCCGCUACAUACCGUGAUAAAGUUAACCCCGGUAGCCUAUGGUUGUAGAGUGGAGCUGAUUUCCCUCAACAUCGAGGCAGUCAACACUCACAGGGAGAAACCCAAGAAUCUGGAGAGGACACGUUCUACAGAUGAAGCUCUGGAGACUGUGCCCUCCCACUUCUAAUGGCAGCUAGCUGAAGAUGAAUGAUUGUCAGGAUGUGCAUGUAUUAGAUGUGUGUGGUGCAGCAACAGCAGGGCCUAGAGGAGGUCAUGUAGCUUGGUAACAGUAGGGUCUGCAGGAUGUGCCAUAGCAGAGUAACAGCGUGGUCUAGAGAAGGUCAUUUAGCACAGCAAUAUCAGGGCCUAGAGGAGGUCAUGUAGCUUGGUAACAGUAGGGUCUGGAGGAUGUCCCACAGCAGAGUAACAGCGUGGUCUAGAGAAGGUCAUUUAGCACAGCAAUAUCAGGGCCUAGAGGAGGUCAUGUAGCUUGGUAACAGUAGGGUCUGGAGGAUGUCCCACAGCAGAGUAACAGCGUGGUCUAGAGAAGGUAAUUUAGCACAGCAAUAUCAGGGCCUAGAGGAGGUCAUGUAGCUUGGUAACAGUAGGGUCUGGAGGAUGUCCCACAGCAGAGUAACAGCAUGGUCUAGAGAAGGUCAUUAGCACAGCAACAGCAGGUCCUAGAGGAGUUCAUGUAGCUUGGUAACAGUAGGGCCUGGAGGAUGUCCCACAGCAGAGUAACAGCAUGGUCUAGAGAAGGUCAUUUAGCACAGCAACAGCAGGGCCUAGAGGAGGUCAUGUAGUAAAGCAACAGCAUGGACUAUAGGUCACGUAGCCAAGCAACAACACCGACUAGAGGUCAUGUACCAUAGCAACAGCAGUGUCUGGAGAGACUUGUUUGAGGAUAGAUCAUCUUUGAAAUAGCAUAGACACAGUAUAACUUUGUUAAAACUUGACAUCUGACUUCUCAACAUGGAAUUUCUUUUGGACAAAGAAACGCCUGAAAGCUGUUACAAAGUUUUGUCAAAUUGAAAUGAUAUCUGUUUUCCAGUCAGUAUGGUGAUAGGUAUUCAACAGUAACACAUUGAUUGCUUGUCUAGAUGAAAAGAGUUACGCAUAAUAUGUGAUGCAGAUAUGUAAUAAAGAAAUGUAUAAUUUUAUGUGCAUCCGGACCUCAUCACAAUGGCAUUAUCGUCAUAUAAUUAAUAAGCAAAUGUCUUAACCAGUCUUGUUGGAUAUAGCAUUUGUGACAUGUACAAUAGUUUGGCAUACAAUAGGUAAUAGGUAAAAGAUUUGUUAUUUUAUGUUACGUUAAUAGGAUUAAAGCAUUUUUCUCUGAUGUUUAUUGAGCUAAUCAUGUUUAAGAUGUUGAGAUAAGUAGUUUUUGUGAUUUGUGUUUGGCAAGUUAUUCCAAAUGAAAUUUGCUCAAUAUUGUCUUUUCUUGAAAAAGUUGCCUUGUCUGAAUUUGUUUGUAAGAGGUUUAAUUCAUUUCAUCAGUGAUGUUUUACAAAUGUUGUGUUCAGUUUGAAAUUUGAACAAAAGUACUUAUCAUGAUACAGUGUUUAGAAUUAGUUGUUGCACAACUUCUCAUGUCACUGGAGCGUAUGCUUCCCGGUCAUGUCGGCUGCUUCUGCUGCAACUUGCUGUACCAGUGUGUAUGUAAUCGAAGAGUGAUUGAUCAAAUCCUGUUUGUUAAACACUAUAUAUUUUGAUGACAAUUUUACCCAGGUGUGAUGUCUGCCAGGUUUUUGUAUAUACAAUAUGGCAGUAUAACCAGAUCCCAGAGAAUAUGUCAAAACGGGCAUUGGUUGUGCUUGUUUACGGGUUUAUGUGACUUGAUGUGGUGUUCCAAUUUUACAUACUGUAAUUGGCUAUAUUAGUGCUCCUUCACUAAUACAUGCUCCAGUUAUUAGUAUUUUUUUUGUACAUGUGCCCUCUCACACCCAUACAUCCACGUGGAACUGUAUUUGUUUCAUCAGGAACAUUUGAUGAUGUGAGCAGUAUUAUGAGGUAAAGCAAAAUGGGAAAAAUAAGAAUGAAACAUUUGUUCACUCAGGGAUUUAUCUAGGUUCUAAACUAAGUGCCAUUUAAGGCAAUUUGGCGAAAAUGUUAUUUUGUUCAAAAUUGAGGCUUUUUUAUAGUUCAUACUUUUUUUAAUUCAGAGUUACUAAUUGUAUUUUGAGAUUGCAUUUAAUGGAAUAUUAAACUAAGCAUCAAUACCCUUUCCUCUUAGAGAUCCUCUUAUCAGUGAGGUGCAGGUUACCUGUUCAAAACCAUCUAAUUAGUUAUUACAUGAAUUGAGAAAUUUAUUGUAACCAUUUGGGAAUUUUUAAUGUCAUCUGGUGCAGACCUGGGGCUGAAGCAAAUGUGCUGCUGGCGACGCGGGGUCUCUGAGCAGGUCCAGAUAAAUAUCUGUCACUGAUCUGGAAGAAACUCAAUAAACAUGUAUUGACUGUCAUCUCAUUAGGCACCCCCAUGGUCACUUACCUUGUUAAAUAACACCCUUUGUGUUGCGUAUGUUGAUUACAGAAAUGUGUUCAUAUAAUGACAGAGUAACUAAAGUCUCUGAAAAACCUGGAUGUUCUUUAACUUCUUUUGAUUUACAUAUAAUGUUUGUAUGUAAUCAGAACUCAUAAUAUUCCAAAUAGUUCGUGACGUAUGUUAAUCACUGGAUUUAGAAUGUACCUGAAAAAUCUUUCACUGACAGGGUAUGACACAGUGCUUGUGUAUGUAGUGUUGUACUCCGCUAGUCAGGGUUGUGUGUUGUCAUCGGCUAGGCAGGGUUGUGCGUUGUAGAAAGGAAGGGUUUUUGAGAAUCCAGUCCACCCAGCAAGUUGUUUCUGGAAGAAGUGCAGCGUGAAUUGGUACUUGUCAUGACUAUAUAGUCAAUGGUGACAUAUUGACGGGCUCCUAUUUCUUAACUACAGAAACAAAUCUCAACCAUCCCUAGACUCCCCUUUGUUUUGGAGACUGCAGAGCUUAAUAGAGGUAAAUCAACAUACAGAGCGUUGUUUUUAUUUUGUUGAGAAGAUGAAACUAUGUAUUGCCAAUUGAUAUACUGCUGAAUAUGACAACCUUUAUGUCACUAUGGAAACAUAAUUCAUUCCACUAAAUGAGCAGGAAACUUGAGCAUAUUUCCCAUUGAACAUUACAAUGCUGUUCUUGUACUCUGACUUCGUCAGAAGAAAAGGCUGAACUAUCAAAUUUUGAAAACAUUUUGGCACAGAAGAAAUUAACAUUGUUAUGAAAUUUUAAAGUUGUUUCAAAUCUUGAAAGAAGCAUGAGGAAGUUUGUUUUGCUCAUCUUUAUCUGUGUGAGGCCAAUGGUUGUCUUCUGGGUCAGUCUGUCAACCUUCAUCUUCUCCUCUCAUUUAGUUGUGCAGCAAUUUUGAAAUCUCAAAGCACUGGUUUUAACAAUCCCAUCAAGAGCAAUGUUUUUAUUGACAGAAGUCCAAUCAGAUUUUAACCAUAUCACAGUCAUUCAUGUAGAGUAAAAUCUUAUAUCUAGCAAUUAUCAUGAUUUUAACUUUUAAGUUUAAGAAGCUGAAAUAUCACCUCAACAACACAUCAUAUAUUGCUGACAGACCAUAGAUCCACCCUAAAGCUAUCAAGAGUCAUUUUUUAAGAUUUAAGUUUGACCUGUUACGCACACUUUCAUUUAUGGAUCUCCAUGUAUAUUUGAUACCCUGCUACUGAGUUACUUAACUGAUUCAUUCCAUAUACAAAUAGUUGGAUAGGACACAAUAUAUUUUAACUUGUUGAAGUAUUUAUUUCAAGUUACUUAUAGUUUAAUUUAUGAAUUUUGCUAUGAAAUAAGGUACUGAGGUUUUGAUACUUUGACGCAUAUUCUGCUGACAUGAAAUUUCCCAAGAUCGGAUAUAUUGGGUUUUUUCUAACCUUUGUUUCUGUAAACCUUGAAUCAUGUUUUGUUUGCUUCAUCACCUUAAGAUGACAGCAUCAGUUGAGGCACAGUGAGUAAGAUGUACUUCUGUGUGGUAUUAGAUGAGGCGUCAACAAAAGAUUUCACAUCUUGGAUGGAUUGAGGCUUCAUCCAUGAAUAUAUCAUAAUUGACUGCAUUCUGAAGAUUAUUUUAUAUUUGUAAAUGGUUCAUCAUAUCAGUCUGUGCAGUAUCAUUCUGUGGGAUAAAGAUGGUAUUUAUUGAUGAAUGAAUUGAUUUGCACAUCUCAGUUUACUGAGGUAAAAUGUACAGUUGGUGGACUAUAGUGUGCGUGACAGCAAGGGUGAUUAAGGAUGUGUCGGAGAACAGAAUGGGUUGUGUGUUGAAUACAGAAUGAAUGGAUCUGAGAACAGAAUGGGUUGUGUGUUGAAUACAGUAUGGAUCUGAGAACAGAAUGGGUUGUGUGUUGAAUACAGAAUGAAUGGAUCUGAGAACAGAAUGGGUUGUGUGUUGAAUACAGUAUGGAUCUGAGAACAGAAUGGGUUGUGUGUUGAAUACAGAAUGAAUGGAUCUGAGAAUGGGUUGUGUGUUGAAUACAGAAUGAAUGGAUCUGAGAAUGGGUUGUGUGUUGAAUACAGAAUGAAUGGAUCUGAGAACAGAAUGGGUUGUGUGUUGAAUACAGUAUGGAUCUGAGAACAGAAUGGGUUGUGUGUUGAAUACAGAAUGAAUGGAUCUGAGAAUGGGUUGUGUGUUGAAUACAGAAUGAAUGGAUCUGAGAAUGGGUUGUGUGUUGAAUACAGAAUGAAUGGAUCUGAGAAUGGGUUGUGUGUUGAAUACAGAAUGAAUGGAUCUGAGAACAGAAUGGGUUGUGUGUUGAAUACAGAAUGAAUGGGUUGUGUGUUGAUGGGUUGGGGUGAUAAGAAUACAGUAAACUACGGUUAUAACGAACACACUUAUAAUGAACUGACGGAUAUAACAAACGGGAGUUUAUUCCCCCGUCCAUUUGCUGUAUAUACGAUGUGUAUAUGAUUAUAACGAACUAUGGUUAUAACAAACUGAAAUUUGUGGUCCCUUUGACUUCGUUAUAACCGUAGUUUACUGUACAUGUAUCUGAGAUAUCUGAGAACAGAAUGAAUAUGUCUGAAAAAUGGAAUGGACUAUACGAGAACAGAAUAAGUUGUGUCUGACAACAGAAAGUCUUUUGUGAUUCUUGUGUGAGGAAGGUUGCUGACCAUGUGCACGGAUUUGUGCUUGAAAUGAGUGCAGUGUCCUCAGAGUGUGUGUGAUUCUACAAAGUCUGAAUUAUUAUUAUUCUUUCAUUUCAGGAUACCUACUGGGAGGUAUAUUGAAAAUUAAUUAUUCAUUGAACUUGUGAUGCUCUUUGUCAAUUUUUAUUUGAAAGUAAAUAAUAAAUAUUGUGGCUUUUUCCAGAAUUAAAGUUAUUUAAGUGAAAA